rnacentral:rRNA from 1 species
UACAGAGGUCCCGAGCGUUGUUCGGAUUCACUGGGCGUAAAGGGUGCGUAGGUGGUGAGGUAAGUCGGAUGUGAAAUCUCCAGGCUCAACCUGGAAACUGCAUUGGAAACUACCUUGCUGGAGGAUUUGAGGGGGGAUUGGAAUACUUGGUGUAGCAGUGAAAUGCGUAGAUAUCAAGUGGAACACCAGUGGCGAAGGCGAAUCCCUGGAAAAUACCUGACACUGAGGCACGAAAAGCUAGGGGAGCAAACAGG